rnacentral:rRNA from 1 species
UACAGAGGGGGCAAGCGUUGUUCGGAAUUACUGGGCGUAAAGGGCGCGUCGGCGGCCUGCUAAGUCGAACGUGAAAUCCCUGGGCUCAACCCAGGAACUGCGUCCGAUACUGGUUGGCUUGAAUCCGGGAGAGGGACGUGGAAUUCCAGGUGUAGCGGUGAAAUGCGCAGAUAUCAGGAGGAACACCGGUGGCGAAGGCGAGUCCCUGGACAACACCUGACACUGAGGCACGAAAGCCGGGGGAGCAAACAGG